CUCCGACCCGGUUGAGCUCCUCCGGGAGAUCGGUGGGGUUGGGACUGCCAUCGUGGCUGUCUUCGGGAUCAGCCUUGCUACUGUCACAACCAAUAUUCCGGCCAACAUAGUUGCACCGGCGAAUGUCCUCGUCAGCCUCCACCCCGGCACUUUCAGUUUCGCUCGGGGAGCGGCGGCGACUGCCUUGGUGAGUGUGGCGUUUCAGCCGUGGAGGAUACUGG
rnacentral:misc_RNA from 1 species